UGCCUGGUUUUACGUUCCAUUUUAAACUGAAUUUUAAUUGUUGACAAUUCUCACUUCAGUGAAUAUCCCUGUAAACCUUUGUAAUCUCAAGUCACCCUAAUGUUUCCCCAAUGUCCCCUCAUCCUCUUAACCCUAUAAGAAUAAUUCAACCCUAACAACUCCCACAAAUAAAAAAAAUCCUUUACUUACAUAAGUGUUCUUUUUGUAUCAAGGAAAUUCUAAUUCAGCUGCAAUUUGGUUUGAGUUCUGUGUUGAGAACAGCGAUUUUGAAAUACAUCUCACCACAGCAAUGAGAUCCAUUUAAUAAUAGAAUUGAUCUAUUACUGUGACCCAAUACAUUGGGCCAAAGAGGAUGUUUCACAAUUGAAUGCAGGAGAAUGCAUUAAAUUGUAAUAGACCCUACGUGUGUAUUUCCCAAGACCUGUUCCAUUGUUUUCUUAGUUAACAGUGUUACACAAUUCUUAAUUGUCAUUGUAAGUCAUUACAUUUCUUUGUAUUCUUGAUUAGAAUUGGUCAUUGGUUUGAACAAUUUAAUAUGUUGAAAAGUUCUGACAGAUUAUGGUUUCUUUAAAUGCUGCUUUUUUUUUUUUUUGGUCUGAAAAACCAUGAAAUAAGUAGAUGGCUUCAUUAUCUGCAUGUCUGAUAAAAGGCAGCACAGUAUGAUCGCGAUAGGUGACCAAGUAUACAUAUUCAUCAUUGGCUAAAGGAAUGUUCUAACUACCAAUAUUGCCACUGCUCGUUGUAGAUUUUGGUGCUGUUAAGAUUCUGUUUUGGAAUUAUUUCAAAUUUACUUCGUCUUGCCCCUCAUCACAGGUAUUGCAAAAGUGGAAGAUCUGCGAUUUAGGAAUUUUAGGUUUGUGCAAACUUAGAGUUCAUUGUCCAUCCUUCUCUAAUAUAGAUAAAGUGGACAUUCUCCCUCCACAAUAGAUAUAUAAAUUUAAUCGUGUUUUGGACUUAACUCAUUGGUUGUAAGCAUCAGCUAACGCGCUCAGCCAGUUCAUGCUAUCUAAACACAGCUGGAAUUGUUAUCACGAAAGCAAACUAAUCCGCUUUAGUGCUAUAGGAGCGAAAUGAUGGACCAUGGGGACCGGAGGUGUCAAACUGUUCUCUACCUUGGGAUGGUGUCAGGUGACUCCUACCACCAUAAACCCUAAAGGCUUUCCUGCUUAUGGUGUUAAAAGUGCCUCUUUAAACGCUGCAUAGAAAUGCACUUUGAGUCCUGUGUUAAAUACUCCAUAAUUGUCAAUAUUUGAGUAGAGUACUUUAAAUGGAUCCAAUGGAAUGUAUUCACAGCUUGUGAAGAAUUGACAAAAGUAUUGCAUAUUUCGACCUAAAUUAAUGAUAAAAUUAUCCUGCUGCUAUUAAAAAAAAA